rnacentral:rRNA from 1 species
UUCGGAGGGGGUUAGCGUUGUUCGGAAUUACUGGGCGUAAAGCGCGCGUAGGCGGACCAGAAAGUUGGGGGUGAAAUCCCGGGGCUCAACCCCGGAACGGCCUCCAAAACUCCUGGUCUUGAGUUCGAGAGAGGUGAGUGGAAUUCCGAGUGUAGAGGUGAAAUUCGUAGAUAUUCGGAGGAACACCAGUGGCGAAGGCGGCUCACUGGCUCGAUACUGACGCUGAGGUGCGAAAGUGUGGGGAGCAAACAGG